rnacentral:rRNA from 1 species
UACAGGGGGUGCAAGCGUUGCUCGGAAUCAUUGGGCGUAAAGCGCACGUAGGCGGUCUGUUAUGUCGGAUGUGAAAGCCCUUGGCUUAACUGAGGAAGUGCAUCCGAAACUGGCAGGCUAGAGUACUAAAGAGGGUCGCGGAAUUCCCGGUGUAGAGGUGAAAUUCGUAGAUAUCGGGAAGAACACCCGUGGCGAAGGCGGUUCUCUGGGACGGUACUGACGCUGAGACGCGAAAGCGUGGGGAGCGAACAGG